rnacentral:sRNA from 1 species
CUUUGAUGGUGAAACCGAAGUCCGUAUGAGUCUUUGGGUUUCUAUCUUGUAAUAAGGAAACAUUAUUUAGGCUUUCAAGAUCCGGUUGCGAUUCUAGUUCUGAUACUCAAUCAUACACAUGACAUCUAUUCAUACUUGACUCCAAAACACUAACCAAGCUUCUUUUUACUUCUCAAAGCUUUGAUGGUGUAGCUGAAGUCCGUAUGAUUCUUUGGCUUUGUAUCUUUUAACAACGAAACAUUACUUAGGCUUUUAAGAUCCUGUUACGGU